rnacentral:rRNA from 2 species
UGCAGUCGAACGAGCUUCCGUUGAAUGACGUGCUUGCACUGAUUUCAACAAUGAAGCGAGUGGCGAACUGGUGAGUAACACGUGGGGAAUCUGCCCAGAAGCAGGGGAUAACACUUGGAAACAGGUGCUAAUACCGUAUAACAACAAAAUCCGCAUGGAUUUUGUUUGAAAGGUGGCUUCGGCUAUCACUUCUGGAUGAUCCCGCGGCGUAUUAGUUAGUUGGUGAGGUAAAGGCCCACCAAGACGAUGAUACGUAGCCGACCUGAGAGGGUAAUCGGCCACAUUGGGACUGAGACACGGCCCAAACUCCUACGGGAGGCAGCAGUAGGGAAUCUUCCACAAUGGACGAAAGUCUGAUGGAGCAAUGCCGCGUGAGUGAAGAAGGGUUUCGGCUCGUAAAACUCUGUUGUUAAAGAAGAACACCUUUGAGAGUAACUGUUCAAGGGUUGACGGUAUUUAACCAGAAAGCCACGGCUAACUACGUGCCAGCAGCCGCGGUAAUACGUAGGUGGCAAGCGUUGUCCGGAUUUAUUGGGCGUAAAGCGAGCGCAGGCGGUUUUUUAAGUCUGAUGUGAAAGCCUUCGGCUUAACCGGAGAAGUGCAUCGGAAACUGGGAGACUUGAGUGCAGAAGAGGACAGUGGAACUCCAUGUGUAGCGGUGGAAUGCGUAGAUAUAUGGAAGAACACCAGUGGCGAAAGGCGGCUGUCUAGUCUGUAACUGACGCUGAGGCUCGAAAGCAUGGUAGCGAACAGGAUUAGAUACCCUGGUAGUCCAUGCCGUAACGAUGAGUGCUAGUGUUGAGGGUUUCGCCCUCAGUGCUGCAGCUACGCAUAGCACUCGCUGGGAGUACGA